AAGGGCCAAAAUCGAAGAGUGGCAGAUUAGAGGAGGGGAAUCAAAAUCCCUAGCAGCAGCCCGAGCCACACCGGGCCUGGCUACAUCUCUCUUUCCCCCAACCUCCUUCUCCACCUCCGGCCGCCGCCACGGCCAGACCGGCGUGGCGGUGCGCCUCCCAUCCAUCAGCCCCACAAGAUACCACCAUCACCAUCCAUCCGUCACCGCGCCACGGCACCACCACCCACCGCUCCACCAUCUCCACCAGCCGCCGCCGCAGCCAUCCAUCAUCCGCGCUGCCACCAGCUCAACCAGCACCAUUCCAUUCACCUCUGUAUCCCUCUAGUCUCCUCUGUUCCUCCUCUCCAUGCCCCUGAUGUUGUUGCUUUCUUCCUCACACCCGUGAAGCUCUUUCCUGCUGUCCUUCUGCUCUGUCCCUCUUCUCUGAAUGCCCUCUUGCUGCUGCUAGUGCCCAGCGCCUCCAUACUGCUGCUACUACUCCUCUCCUUUGCUAUUAUCCCAUCUCUCCUUGUGCCCCUGCUGCUGCUUCUUCCCCAAACCUUGCUGAUGCUGCUCUCUCCUCCCCAAAACUGUUGCUGCUUCUUCUCUCUAGCGCCCCCUUGUUGUUCCUCACUUGUUGAACCUCUGCUCUGAACCUCCUCCUUCUGCUCCUCCUUGUGUGUGCGCGUGUGUGUGUCCGUGUGUGUGCGUGUGUGCGUGUGUGUGUUCACUGAACACUUAGUGUUAAGACUUGCUUAAUUGUAAACUGUUUUGCGCUAGAUUUAUAUGUGACUGUCAGUUCGUGGUUUGUAUAAACCAAGAUUACUUGUCAAUUUUUUUGCUGUUUGUGUUCUCUGUAAAGUGAGAUGUUUGAACCUCUUUAAUUCUUAGUCCCUGUGUUAGCUAUGUACAUGUGAAUAUAUAUGUUUGUGAUGUGAAGUACUUGAUCUGUCAUACCUUGCUUAGUGAAAUAGUAAUCUUCAUAUAAGUGUGUGGUGCCCUGUGAUAUAUAAAUAUGUGUGUGUUUUUGAUGUGAAACAUUACUUCCCUCUGUACAUGUUUUGUCAUGCUACUUCCCUUUUGUGUUAGUUUCUGUUGUCUCAAGUAAUAAGAAAACACCAAGAAUAUAGUGAAGAUAAUCUGAAUCUCCCUUUUGC
rnacentral:rRNA from 1 species